AUUCAUGAUGAAAAUAAGUCGAUUCCCAGCUGGGGCCACCGUGCCAGAGUUCGCAUACCCUCCCAGGCCUCAUUUCCUCUAAAAUGUAGAGGUUGUACUGGAACCAGUCCUGUGAUUUCUCCCAGCGCUGAACUUUCUGGCACCCAAAACAAAAUGGCUGCCAUGUUUUUCCCAGCCUUGGUCCGAAGGUCGUUUCUGCCAGGAGGUGGCACCACUGAUUCAUGUUUCCAGCAGAGAGGUGGGCUGACCAUUUGUUAAUUUCCCCUUAGCUUUGAAAAGGAGCCUCAAAACUCACCUGCUUAGCAGCUGCCUCUAAACUAACUUUUUAAAUCCUGGGGUUGAUGUUUCUUGAAUGUGACCGAAUUUUCCACUUUUUUGCUUGCUCCAAGAAUAUCAAAAUUGUCUUCCUCAGUUCUCAAUAUUUAGUCCUCAGUAUUUAGGGAAGGGGUAAAGAGAAACGGCGGUUGGUGAGGGUCACUUCCCCACUGUGGUCUUUCCCUUUGCUCAGAAGCAAAACUGCAGAUAUCCAAGAGCAUGUGCUGCUGAAUUGCACCUACAAUCAGCCAUUUGCAUGCUAUUCAGAAGGCACAAAUGGCCACUUAGGCUGGCAAUUGCCUAAUUGCCACACAGAGGGUCACAGAUACAAUUUUGCAGCCUCAGAUCUCUGGCAGCAGCUAGGCUGGAGAGGCCCAGAAAAUGUGGUUUUCUAGUCUUCUCGGGUUACUGUGUGCAGGGCAGGAAAAGGACCUAAGGCCAAGAGGGCCAAAUUCUUCAUUUUACCCAAAGCCAGUCCUGGAGAUGAAAAGUGAAUUUAAGAUGAAAAUUCCCUAACUGUGUCCCACCCUUCGACUUUUCUCGAGAGUUUAGGAAACAGAAGAUGUAGGGAGGAAGAGAGGAAGAAAGAGAGAGAAGGAAG
rnacentral:lncRNA from 10 species